rnacentral:lncRNA from 10 species
CUGUUUUCACUCUAUUAAAUCUUGCAACUGCACUGUCUUCUGGUCCAUGUUUGUUACUGCUCGAGCUGAGCUUUCGCUCCCCGUCCACCACUGCCGUUUGCUACCGUGGCAGACCUGCCGCUGACUUCCAACCCUCCAGAUCCAGCAGGGUGUCUGCUGUGCUCCUGAUCCAGCGAGGCGCCCAUUGCUGCUCCAAAUCGGGCUAAAGGCUUGCCAUCAUUCCUGCACGGUUAAGUGCCCGGGUUGGUCGUAAUCGAGCUGAACACUUGUCACUGGGUUCCACGGUUCUCUUCCGUGACCCAUGGCUUCUAAUAGAGCUAUAAAACUCACCGCAUGGCCCAAGAUUCCAUUCUUUGGAAUCCGUGAGGCCAAGAACCCCAGGUCAGAGAACACGAGGCUUGCCACCAUGUUGGAAGCGACCUGCCGCCAUUUUGGAAGCAGCCCACCAUCAUCUUGGGAGCUCUGGGAGCAAGGACCCCUGGAUCUGGAGGAGGAAGCAGGCAGGCCCUGGGUCUACUGGCAACCAUCUUGUGAUCAUGAGUUGAGACUAUAUUACCAGGAAAUGAUCCCUACAGAAGGCAGAGUGCAGAGAGGAAGAAAACAAUCUGAGGACAUUAUUGAGUGCUGUAUUAAGCGCAGCAAAUUACAUGGGCCAAUAAAUACCUUUUCUUUCUUAAGCCUGUUGUUAUAACUGAAUGCAUCCUACUAUAAUGGUUAGAAAAUAAAAUAUUUUUAAAAUAGGCCUCUGUUACUUUUUUAACUUUACAGAAAUAACUAAAAGCAAACAACAACAUCAAAACUCAAAGAAUUAUUUUUUAAAAUUCCAUAAUAAGAACUGUAAAAAAUAGGAGAAACUUUCUUUCUAACAGGAGCCUAUUUCUAGAAACCAAUUAAAUCAUUACAAGUAAUAACAAUUUCUCUUUACAGAGUACCACAUGCCAAGCCAUGUACUAAGCAUAUUAUAUGCAGUAUCUCAUUUAAUCCACACAACAAUCUCAAGAGGGUUCUAUAAAUAUCCUCAUUUUACAGAUGAGGAAACAAAGAUUCCAAGAAUUUAAAUAAUUUGUUUAAUGUUGCACAGUAAGAAAAAGACUAAACAAAGAUUGAGUCCUGAUCAUCUAACUCUGAAACACCUACUCUAUACCAGUUCACACUCUGCCUUUCUAAGCAAGUAGCAUGCAUAGCUCUAAUCCGUACACCACCUUACCAGGUAGGGCUUACAGCAGAUGAGGAAAUUAACACUCACAGACAUUAUGUAACAUGAGGGAGGUCCCACAGCUAGCUAGUAAUUAUACAAAAAGAUAAGCCACAGGGCACAGAGCGUCGUCUCAGAGAUUAACAGGCAAGAUGAUGAAUACAUGGAAAAAGCCACCAAAGCUUGGCACUCAAAGAGCCCUUAAAGAUUCCCAGUUCAUAAAAAAAAAUUAGCUGCGUGUGGCGGCAGGCACCUGUAAUCCCAGUUACUCGGGAGGCUGAGGCAGGAGAAUCGCUUGAACCCGGGAGGCAGAGAUUGCACUGAGCCGAGAUCGCACCACUGCACUCCAGCCUGGACGACAGAGUGAGACUCCAUCUCAAAAAAAAAAAAAAAAAAAAAAGAUUCCCAGUUCAUCACCUUCUUUUUGUUCUUGAAGAACUGAGACCCAGAGACAUUUCUUAUCUUGCCCAGGGCAACACAGCCAGUAGGGGCAGAGGUACGACGACACAAGUCUUUGUUAAUCAACAUGUUUUUCUAAUACACAAGACUGCCUUUGAUGAACUGCAUUUGCAGGGCACCUGCUGAAUACACUUGAUAUGGGAACUUUUUCCUGUCUUAAUGGAGUAGAUCCAGCCUCCAGUACCUGUUUGUCUUAAUAGAGUCCCCUAAUUUUCCCUACAGAAACAACCUCUUUCCUCCUGCGUGCAGCCUUGAGAGGGCUGGUAAAUCCCCCUCCCCUGGACAUGCGACUUCAGUCACAACAAUUGAAAUUUCUCUCCUGGGAAUUUGUAAUUUGUCUAUGCUUUAUUUUGAUAAUAAAUCUUUGUUUUCCCCCAAGGAAUUUGGAAUCGAUUUCCAUUGUCCACAACCUAAGAACCUAUAACACUUAAGGCCUUUUUCAGUUGCAAGUGUUAGGAAACCCAAGCCAAA